CCCUUAGACGUUCUGGGCCGCACGCGCGCUACACUGACCAGUGCAACAAGCAUCCGUCCUUGGCCGACAGGCUCGGGCAAUCUUUGAACGCUGGUCGUGGUGGGGAUAGACUUUUGCAAUUUUUGGUCUUCAACGAGGAAUUCCUAGUAAACGCAAGUCAUCAACUUGCAUUGAUUACGUCCCUGCCCUUUGUACACACCGCCCGUCGCACCUACCGAUUGAAUGGUCCGGUGAAGCCUCCGGAUUGGCGCGCACCUCGGUGCCGCCGAGAAGUUGGCUAAACCUUACCAUUUAGAGGAAGGUGAANUCGUAACA
rnacentral:rRNA from 1 species